GUCGAAAAUAUAAGUGGAAUAUGUCAAAGUCUUUUAUAUGUGCCAAUUUUCCUGUUGCCAGCAGGUGGCGCUAUCAUUAUAAUGGAAUAUUGGCCUUUAGAUUUGUUCAGGCCAGGACUCUUAUCGAACAUGUGAAGUUUGGGGAAGAUCAAACAUUUUAUGCCUGAGUUACACCAACUUCUCUUCCUUUGGCGAGACAUAAAAUUGUGUCACAGCGCCAUGGACACGCCCUUUAACAAAAACUCAAGAUCUCCACAAUUCACUAUUGCAAAGGCCUUUAGACUAGACUGACCAGAAAAAAAUAUUGAUGUCAUAAAAUUUCUAGGAGUAAUUGGACAUUGUAUGUCUGAGUUAGAGCAUUUUCCUUUUUCAUGGCGAAACAUCGAAAUUUG
ensembl:lncRNA